GUGGGACCAAGGCUAAAAAAAAACGGCCGUUUUGGAGGCGGGGCUUCUUCUUGGCUGUUAAUUGUAAAAUUUACCUCAGACAAGCCCGGGACCCCGAGAGAGAAGGCAGCUCGGCCUGGCAGCCAUUCUGAAGACCUGGUUCGGAAGAAAGAAAGAAAAAAAGAAAGAAAGAAGGAAAGCAAGGGCAGCCGUGGCUGGAAGGCCCCGAGGAGACAGGCGGGGAAGGCGGGCUCUCCUCAGGCCACUCACAGCCAGGCUCCGUUUCCGAUACAGAGAAAUGGCCAAGCCUUGUGAAACGGAUGGAAGAAAUAAAGGCAAAAUUUUUGAAAAUUUCCACAGCUUUUUCUAAAGGGACCAGCGCUGAAUUCAAGUCAACGUGAAGAAACAAAAGGUCAAGAGACAGAGGACGGAAGAUGCUUGAAGACACCCUCGCAAGGACACCGCCUGCCUCCCAAAAAAGGUCGUUUUCAGGGUAAUUGCUGUAAGGGUAGGCAUUUAAUGUCUAUCUUUGCAUUAAAAAAAGGGUUACCUUUGCACACGGUUCCCCUCGCGUGUGGCAUCGAAGAAGUCCCACUCGGGAACGGACGGGUCCUCCCUUUGUUCUAGGCAGAUGAUGGGUCUUCCUAUACGGGCCGUAGGGGUCACAGCUUGGGGGUCAGCGGGGGGGCCCGCCCUGGCAUCGCGGGGGGCAGCACACGUUACGGGCAUUUUAAGAUGUCCUUGCAACUUAGAAAUAAAAAUAUCAAUACCUUAACUCACUUACUAACAUCCUACUAACACCAUUCUAAAUAGGGUACCCUGCCCUUUUAAAUAGGACUGUGUUCUGCCUGAUGGCAAGAACCAAGCUGGGAAGGGAGGGGGCCUCCUGGCCCCCCAUAAAAGGGCCCCCAUGGAAGGACAUUGCAAAAGGCCCCUAAGGUGUCCUGAGAGCAGCCUCUUGGUCCUCAGUGUUCCCCACGGAGCCAGGUCUGGGCCCCUCGCUCUCCCCCAACCCAUGGACCCUGCCGCUUGUAUAUCAUCCGUCCAGGGCCAACGGACGCCCCCUCCCUCCCUCCCCGGGCGGAGCUUCGAGGCCACACUCAAGGGGAGACCAGAGCCGUGUGCCUCAUGCCAACGCCUAGCACGUGGCGAACCUUUUUUUUUUACUGCAAACAUAGGCAUCAUGAUUGUGAUUUUUGUUAAUUCCUUUUAAAUUUAAUUGUUUGUAUUUGAUAGCAUGGUAGGCUGGUUUUAUAUCAGUGAGCCGCCCCGAGUCCCUCUGGGGAGACGGUGGCAGGGUACAAAAAUAAAAUUAUUAUUAUUAUUAUUGAUUCGAGGCACCUGGAAAAAGAAAUACCAGGAAGCAGAUAAAAUUAUUAUUAUUAUUAUUGAUUCCAGGAAAAAGAAAUACCAGGAAGCAGAUAAAAUUAUUAUUAUUAUUACUGAUUCGAGGCACCUGGAAAAAGAAAUACCAGGAAGCAGAUAUUAUUAUUAUUAUUAUUAUUAUUAUUAUUGAUUCCAGGAAAAAGAAAUACCAGGAAGCAGAUAAAAUUAUUAUUAUUGUUAUUGUUGUUGUUAUUAUGUAGGACCCCCUUUUAUUUAUGUAAGGCCACACACCCAGGGGACCACUAUUCCUAAUUAAAGCCUGGUUAAAGGGGAUCCUCUAUUCUUAAAGUUAGGCGUAUAGAGAUCUCCUAUCCAGAAACUAACGCGGCCUGCCCUAUAGAGAUCUGUUAAACCAAGGCGGCCUGCCCUAUAGAGAUCUCCUAUUUCACGUAAUACCAGGCAAUAUGGAGAUCCCUGGUUUUUUUAACCGUUAAAUCCCUUACGUGGGGAUAUCCCUGGGUUUUUUUAACCGUUAAAUCCCUUACGUGGGGAUAUCCCUGGUUUUUUUUAACCGUUAAAUCCCUUACGUGGGGAAAUCCCUGGUUAUUUUAACCAUUAAAUCCCUUACGUGGGGAGAUCCCUGGUUAUUUUAACCUUUAAGUCCCUAACGUGGGGAAAUCCCUGGUUUUUUUAAUCUUUAAGGCCAGAUGUGGGGAUUUCCUUGCUUCUUUUAACCCGUAAGGCCAGCCAUGGGGAGAUAUCUUAGGCUGUUUUCACGAAAAAUCAGGUAUAGAUGCACUGUUUUCUCUCCCGUUCCAUGUGCCUGGACUCCCGGAGGGCUCCUGCCGGACACCGUCUCCCAUCGGCCGAGAGGGAUCCUUCUUGUCUGGGAAGGAUCUGCAACACAGGUAAAAAGAAGAUUCCGGGAAGGAGAUUCCUACAGCGGAGCCCUAAAGCCAGGUGAGACGUUCCUUCCAACCUCCACGGCUGCUUUGCACACACACACAUGACACACACAUGACACACACACACACGCAUAUACAGCUGGGGGCCCUCAGGGACUCUCCCCCCAAUAGAUCGGGGACUCCCACUCCGGCAAUUGGCCAUUGGAAAUGCCUUGAAGCAGUUUGGGGCUUCCGGCCAAGCGCUUGCAAAGAGAAUCCAUUCAAGGUUGGACCCCCUUUUAAAGGGCCUGGCACGUGGUAUUUAUUCCUGGCACGUGGAAAACUCCAUUUGUAAGGCAAACCCUCGUUAAAGGAGGUUUGCAAUUAAUUUAAAACCAGGCUUCUGAGGGACCCGCUGUGUUUAAAGCCAAACCUAGCAGGUGGGAACCCCUUUGGUUAACGUAAGGCGAGGGACCCUCCAUAUUUAAUAAGAUGCCUGGCAGAAUCUUAACCUAAAUGCAGGCCUAUGGGCUACAGCCUAUUCUGCAUAGCCAGGCAUGGGGGGACCCCAGAUUAUUAACUUGAGGCCUGGGAAAAGGAGAUUUUUGUAUUUAUUUAUUACAAUAUUUAUAUCCCGCCCUCUCUCCCCUUAAAAGGGGACUCAGAGCAGCUUACGUUAUAUUUACAUAUUUAUUUAUUACAAUAUUUAUAUCCCGACCUCUCCCCUUAAAAGGGGACUCAGAGUGGCUUACAAGUGAUAUUUACAUAUUUAUUUAUUACAAUAUUUAUAUCCCGCCCUCUCUCCCCUUAAAAGGGGACUCAGAGCGGCUUACAAGUGAUAUUUACAUAUUUAUUUAUUACAAUAUUUAUAUCCGGCCCUCUCUCCCCUUAAAAGGGGACUCAGAGCGGCUUACAAGUGAUAUUUACAUAUUUAUUUAUUACAAUAUUUAUAUCCCGCCCUCUCUCCCCUUAAAAGGGGACUCAGAGCGGCUUACAAGUGAUAUUUACAUAUUUAUUUAUUACAAUAUUUAUAUCCCGCCCUCUCUCCCCUUAAAAGGGGACUCAGCGGCUUACAAGUGAUAUUUACAUAUUUAUUUAUUACAAUAUUUAUAUCCCUCGCUCUCUCUCCUUAAAAGGGGACUCAGGGCGGCUUAACAAUAAGACGCAUAUAUAAAAAACCAUACAGUGCAAUAUAAAUCAUCAUUAACUUACAUCAGUAUUCAUAAAACACAUUAUAAAAUACAGAUAGGUGUGUUCAGUUCAAAUCCAUUCAAGGUAUACGUGGACCCCCUUUUAAUGCCAACCUUUCCAUGUGGAAAACUCCAUUUGUAAGGCAAACCCUCGUUAAAGGAGGUUUGCAAUUAAUUUAAAACCAGGCUUCUGAGGGACCCGCUGCGUUUAAAGCCAAACCUAGCAGGUGGGAACCCCUUUGGUUAACGCAAGGUGAGGGACCCUCUAUUUUUAAUAGGAUGCCUGGGAGAAUCUUAACCUAAAUGCAGGCCUAUGGGCUACAGCCUAUUCUGCAUAGCCAGGCAUGGGGGGACCCCAUAUGAUGAAUUUGAAGCCUGGUAAAAGGAGAUUUUUGUAUUUAUUAACUUAUUACAUUUAUAUCCCGCCCUCUCUCCCCUUAAAAGGGGACUCAGAGCGGCUUACGAGUUAUAUUUACAUAUUUAUUUAUUUAUUACAAUAUUUAUAUCCCACUGUCUCCCCUUAAAGGGGACUCAGAGCGGCUUACGAGUUAUAUGUACAUAUUUAUUUAUUUAUUACAAUAUUUAUAUCCCGCUGUCUCUCCCCUUAAAGGGGACUCAGAGCGGCUUACAAGUUAUAUUUACAUAUUUAUUUAUUUAUUACAAUAUUUAUAUCCCGCCCUCUCUCCCCUUAAAGGGGACUCAGGGCAGCUUAACAAUAAAACGCAUAUAUAAAAACCAUACAGUGCAAUAUAAAUCAUCAUUAACUUACAUCAGUAUUCAUAAAACACAUCAUAAAAUACAGAUAGGUGUAUUACAUACACUGUAUCAUUAGCAUCGCACAAUAUUAGCAUUAUAUACUACAUUGCAUUAUACCACUAUACAGAAACAUUAUUAGCAAUAUUACAUUCAAUAUAUAAUAUGUAAUUCAUAUUAUUAUAUUGUAUCAUUGUUAGUAUUAUAUUGCAUUAUUUAUUUAUUUGCUAGAUGUAUAUGCUGCCCUUCUCGCCCCCAAGGUGAACGGCUUACAAAUUAAAUUUACAUACAAUAUUAUAUUAUUACCAUAGUACAAUACUGGCAGUAAAUUACUAUAUUGUACUAUAUGAAUAUAUGGUAAUAUUAUUAGUAGUAUUACAUGCAAAAUGUAAUACAUAAUUAAUAUUAUUAUAUUUAAUUAUUAGUAUAUCGUUUUACAAUAUAAUAUGAACAUUAUAUGUAUAUGCAAUAUGUUAUAAUUAUAUAUUAAAUUUUAUAUAUAUAUACAUAUAUAUGUAUAUAUACAUACAUAUAUAUAUACACACAGUAGAGUCAUCCAACAUAAAUGGGCCAGCGAAUAUUUAUUUAUUUAUUUAUUUGCAGCAUUUUACCGGGCUGGCCUCGAACUCACGACCUCCUGGUCAGAGUGAUUUGUUGAUAUUUAUUACUCAUUUACAGCAUUUAUAUUCCGCCCUUCCUUCUCACCCCGAAGGGGACUCAGGGCGGAUCACAUGACACAUAUAGGCAAACAUUCAAUGCCUUUUAACAUAGAACAAAGACAAACAAACAGGCUCCGAGCCGGGCCUCGAACUCGUGACCUCCUGGUCAGAGUGAUUCAUUGCAGUUAAUUGCAGCUGGCUUGCUUUCCAGCCUGCGCUGUUGGAUAAUAAGGAGGCAUUAUGGAAAAGCCUAUUAAACAUCAAAUUAGUUGAUGAUUUUACAAAUUAAGCACCAAAACAUCAUUUGACAGAAAAAGUAGUUCAAUAUGCAGUAAUGCUAUGUAGUAAUUAUUGUAUUUACGGAUUUAGCACCAAAAUAUCACGACGCAUUGAAAACAUGGACUACAAAAAUGCGUUGAAUAAUCCAGAAUGUUGGAUAAGAGAGUGUUGGAUGAGACUACUGUAUAUACAAUAUAAAUUAGAAUAGCAUGUUAUUGGGGGAGGAGCAUCUUGGUUAUUAGAUGUUUUUAUUAGUUAUUGAUAUUAGUAUAGAUAUGACAUUGAGUAUAUAUUAUCCUAGCACAAUGUUAAUAUUAGUUAUUCAUAUUAGUCUCAAUAUGACAUUAAUAGAGUACAUUAUUAUCCUAGCACAAUGUUAUUAGAUGUUAAUAUUAGUUAUUGACAUUAGUCUCCAUAUGACAUUAAUAGAGUAUAUUAUUAUUCUAGCACAAUGUUAUUACAUAGGACCAUGUUGUUGCUAGGGGGAGGGCCCCCCCACUGAUUGUAUUAUUAGUAUUACGUUGUUGCUAGGGGGAGGGCCCCCCCACUGAGAUCCCCUGUCAUUAAUGUGUCAGACCAGGCAUUUCACUCCUACCUUUGCAUCAGAAAGCAGGCUCCCUGUGCGCUAGGCCUUCCUUUGAGGAACACAUUCAUUCACGGCUCCGCUUGAGUGUGGCAUUGAGGCCCCACUCAGGGACGGGCGGGUCCUCCCUUUGCCCUGGGCAGAUCGUGGGGGGUGGGCGGAUCUCCCUAGACGGGCAGGGGGUCGCGGCUGGCGGGACAGCGGGAUAUAAAAAUAUAAAUAUAUAUAUUAAAACCCUUGCACCCAAGGAAACAACUCUGGGGACCCGAGCGGCUGCUCCCAGCUCACGUCACGGGCAUUUUAAACAUCUCGUAGCAGCUCAGAUUAAUACCUGAACUAACCUUAACCUGCUAACCCUACUAACCCAUUUCUAACUAGAGCAGGAAUUUUAAAUAGGGCUGUUUUUGCCUGUUGGCAAGAACCAAGCUGGGAGGGGGCCUCUGGGCCUCGGGUGGGAAGAACCCUAACCCUGUCCCUGCCCUGCGCUGGGAGCGCCCCCCCCCUCGGGACCCCAGUGUUUGGUCCCCGCUCUCCCCCAAUCCGACGGCCUAGAAAGCCCCUCCGCCAUCCGCCCAGGGCCAACGGACAGCCCUCCCUCCCUCCCCGGCAGCCGCGUUCCUCAUGCAACAGGGAGCCUGGUUCUGGAUGCAAACGUGGGACCCCCUUAGGACCCCCUUUUCUCUGUGCAGGGACCCCCGCUCCCCAUAAAUAAAUGCCUGGUGGAAGGGGAUCCUAGUAGAAAAAGCCACAGUUCCCAAGAGCCCCCAAAAGCGAGAUGCUCCCUUGGUUCAGCCCUUCUGACCCUUGUUUUCUCCCUUGUUCUAUGUCUCCGGAAUCGCCGAGGGAGGGAGGGGCUCCUCCUGGACAAGAGCCAAGGACGGACAGAUGGACGGACGGACGGAAGGAAGGAAGGAAGGAGAUCCCAGAGAGCAGGACGCCUUGCCGUUCUGGCUGCUGAGCUCGACCCCUUUCCAACAAUGUUAGCGUUCCAGAAUAAAACUCUUCCCAAAAAAAGGUGUUUUCUGGUUAUUAUUCAAACGUUUAAUUUUUGGCAGCCUUAAACAUCUAGAUUACAAUACAGUUUGUGCUGCUGCCUUUUAUAAACCUUGUUUUCUACAAAUAAAGUCAAGAGAAACACUAUAAGUUUUGCACUGUG